AAAUUGAAGAGUUUGAUCAUGGCUCAGAUUGAACGCUGGCGGCAGGCCUAACACAUGCAAGUCGAACGGUAACAGGAAGCAGCUUGCUGCUUCGCUGACGAGUGGCGGACGGGUGAGUAAUGUCUGGGAAACUGCCUGAUGGAGGGGGAUAACUACUGGAAACGGUGGCUAAUACCGCAUAACGUCGCAAGACCAAAGAGGGGGACCUUCGGGCCUCUUGCCAUCAGAUGUGCCCAGAUGGGAUUAGCUUGUUGGUGAGGUAACGGCUCACCAAGGCGACGAUCCCUAGCUGGUCUGAGAGGAUGACCAGCCACACUGGAACUGAGACACGGUCCAGACUCC
rnacentral:rRNA from 4 species